UUAAAAAGCUCGUAGUUGGAUUUCUUCUAGGGAAGACGGGUCUCGUUCUUAACGAUGUAUCUUUGUCUGCCUUGGAAUCUUCUCGAAAAUCGUUUUUGCGUUUGAUUACGUGAUUCGACGCUCGAGACUUUUACUUUGAGGAAAUUAGAGUGUUCAUAGCAAGCAGUCGCUUUGAAUAUAUUAGCAUGGAAUAAUAAUAUAAGACUAAGUACUUAUUUUGUUGGUUUCUAGGGACUUAGUAAUGAUAAAUAGGGAUAAUUGGGGGUAUUUGUAUUGUCGCGUCAGAGGUGGAAUUCUUGGAUUGCGCUAAGACAAACUACUGCGAAAGCAUUUGCCAAGGACGUUUUCAUUGAUCAAGAACGAAAGUUUGGGGAUCGAAGAUGAUUAGAUACCGUCGUAGUCCAAACCAUAAACUAUGCCAACUAGAGAUGGGUAAGUGUUAUUUUUCGACCUUAUCUGCACCUUAUGAGAAAUCAAAGUCUUUGGGUUCCGGGGGGAGUAUGGUCGCAAGCUGAAACUUAAAGGAAUUGACGGAAGGCACCACCAGGAGUG
rnacentral:rRNA from 1 species